CAAACGGAGCGACAUGUAGAACAACAGAAGCAUGGAACUGCACAACUCGUUAAUUCAAAUGCAACAUGGCGAGGUUCCAUAGCAACCCACGUGGACGUUGUGAGGGUAAAAAAGGAGGAAAUGCAUUUUACAUACAUAAGGUCAUAAGGGGACCACUGCCUUCCAAAUGAAUAUGAAUAUCUUCAUGGAAAAAAUAUCUUGAGAGGAAAAAAAGAACUUUGGCUGGGUGUGCGGAAUGGAGAACCCUUGGUUCUAUUAUUUAUGGAGACAUCACAGAACAGCCGGUUGGAGCUAAGGAAGCACCAAAAUAAUGUACCAGGCUAACCAAUCAGAAGGCCAUGGUGCCCCUUGGCUGCCUGUUUAUCCAGACACCGGAAGAAUUACUCAAGACCUAACUUUCUUUUUAUUGCACUUCUUAGGAGUACCAGGUAAUAAAUCAAUUGGGCAAGGACAGAUACAGAAAAGCAAUAUUUAAAAUGACUUAUGAUGUAAAAGAGAUGACUUUGCUAUUAUGUUUUAUCAAAGGCAGCCACUAACAAGCAUAAUGUAAUUCACAAUGCUUAAGCAGGGUGACUUUAAUUGCAAUGGUCAUUAAAUUCACAGGACCAUUAAAUGCAUUAAAGGAGGGAGCCAGUGAGCUAUCAUGAAUGAAAUAAGGCCCCCACUCACCCCACUUCACCCUAUUUAACUGGAAUUGAACUUAGUCCGGGUCUCUGAUAUGUCACAACCCUUGACUUCCUCUCCUCCUUUCUCUACAAAGUUGCUGUGGCUGUUUCAGAACAGCUCAAACACAGAAGCAUUCAAGGGGAAAGAGAGGCAGACAGAGGUAUUAUCAAACGACAUCGAAAUGUACUAGUGGAUUAAAUUUUGCCUAUUACGUUUUAUAGCAUUUUCAGGUUUGAAGUCUACUCACAUCUAGUUUUGAUAAGUUUGUCGUCUUCAGAAGCUGACAUAAGAAAAGAACUACUAGCAUCAAAAAUUUCCGUCUCCCCAGUAAUGACAGAAAUGUAAACUGAAACGUAUCAAAUUGAUCAAAACUAGAAACACAAUGAUUAUUCCUAUUGGCAGGAAGUGCAUAGGGAAGUCGUCACUUUCUCACCUUGUUGUGGGACGUUAAACAUGAAUAAAAAUUUCUGGAAAACUCUUUGGUACUGUGUGUCAAAAACCUUAAAAAAGUGUUCUUAUAUAUCGACUCAGAACUUGUGUAUCUAGGAAAUUAUCAUCCAAAACGAUGAAGAUUUAAGUAUAAGGAGAAACGUAAAAAGAAAUUGGAAAUAAUGCCCUAAUUAUCCCACAUUAAGAGAUUGAGUAAAUAAAGUAACAGAGACAAUAAAUGAAUAUUAUACACAGAUUUAAAGCAGUGUCUUAGAAGUGUACUUACUGAGAAGGAAAAGACAUUAACAACAUAAAGUGAUGAAAUGUGUACCACAAAACCUUAUGAGUGGCAUGGACCCAUUUUUUUAAAAAUGUAUUUUUUUUUUGAGAGAUAGAA